rnacentral:rRNA from 1 species
AGCUCCAGUAGCGUAUAUUAAAGUUGUUGCAGUUAAAAAGCUCGUAGUUGGAUUUCUGGUUUGACGCGUUUGGCCCUCCCGGGUUCCACUCGGUGUGCGUGCCGAUGCGCGUCUGCCAUCCUUGUAGAGAACGUUUCUACCCUUCACUGGGCCGGAUUCGCGAUCUACAUCUUUUACUUUGAAAAAAUUAGAGUGUUUAAAGCAGGCUUGUGCUAUGAAUACAUUAGCAUGGAAUAAUAAUUUAGGACUUUAGUUCUAUUUUGUUGGUUUCUAGAGCUGAAGUAAUGAUUGAUAGGGAUAGUUGGGGGUGCUAGUAUUCACUGGCCAGAGGUGAAAUUCUUGGAUUCAGUGAAGACUAACUUAUGCGAAAGCAUUCACCAAGGAUGUCUUCU